CGAAGACGCCGGACGAGCGACUGCAAGUUUUUAUCUGCGACAUUUUCGACUUUAAAAGGGAGUGCGCUGGAAGCUUCGACAUUGUUUGGGAUAGAUCUGGGUUUGCAGUCAUGAGACUCAAAGACCGUGCCAGAUAUGCUGCAGUAAUCAAGAAUCUGCUGGCCGCAGACUUCUCGUACGGCAUGUGGACAAAAGUUUAUGAUACGCGUGGUAUGGCUCUUGAUGGACUAGAGGGGCCCGUCAGCGCUGGGGAGUUUGCGCUCCAGGAGCAUUUCGGAACUGGACGAUUUUGAAACGGAAAAAGACACACA
rnacentral:lncRNA from 1 species